rnacentral:ncRNA from 2 species
GGUCAAGCGAACAAGUGCAUGUGGUGGAUGCCUUGGCGAUCACAGGCGAUGAAGGACGCGGUAGCCUGCGAAAAGUUGUGGGGAGCUGGCAACGAGCUUUGAUCCACAAAUGUCCGAAUGGGGAAACCCGGCCCGUAUGGGUCACCCACAACUGAAUCCAUAGGUUGUGUGGGGCGAACGCGGUGAACUGAAACAUCUAAUUAACCGCAGGAAAAGAAAUCAACCGAGAUUCCCAAAGUAGUGGCGAGCGAAAUGGGAUCAGCCGGUACUCUUUAUUUAUCUUAUUAGCUGAACGCUCUGGAAAGUGCGGCCCGAGCAGGUGAUAGCCCUGUAAGCGAAAAUAGGAGGAAAGAACUAGGGGUACGAGAAGUAGGGCGGGACACGUGAAAUCCUGUCUGAAGAUGGGGGGGCCAUCCUCCAAGGCUAAAUACUCGUGAUCGACCGAUAGUGAACCAGUACCGUGAGGGAAAGGCGAAAAGAACCCCGGGAGGGAAGUGAAAUAGAUCCUGAAACCACAUGCAUAAAAACAGUCGGAGCCUGGAGACGGGUGACGGCGUACCUUUUGUAUAAUGGGUCAGCGACUUACGUUCAGUAGCGAGCUUAACUGAUUAAGGCAGGCGUAGCGAAAGCGAGUCCGAAUAGGGCGAACAGUUGCUGGGCGUAGACCCGAAACCAAGUGAUCUAUCCAUGGCCAGGUUGAAGGUGCGGUAACACGUACUGGAGGACCGAACCCACUAACGUUGAAAAGUUAGGGGAUGAGCUGUGGAUAGGGGUGAAAGGCUAAACAAACUUGGAAAUAGCUGGUUCUCUCCGAAAACUAUUUAGGUAGUGCCUCGUGUCUCACCUUCGGGGGUAGAGCACUGUCAUGGUUGUGGGGUCCAUUGCGGAUUACUACGCCGUAGCAAACUCCGAAUACCGAAGAGUGCAAUCACGGGAGACAGACAUCGGGUGCUAACGUCCCGUGUCAAGAGGGAAACAACCCAGAUCGCCAGCUAAGGUCCCAAAGAUUGGCUAAGUGGGAAACGAAGUGGGAAGGCUAAAACAGUCAGGAGGUUGGCUUAGAAGCAGCCACCCUUUAAAGAAAGCGUAAUAGCUCACUGAUCGAGUCGUCCUGCGCGGAAGAUGUAACGGGGCUCAAGCCAGUCACCGAAGCUGCGGAUGCGCGCGCAAGCGCGUGUGGUAGGAGAGCGUUCCGUAAGCCUGCGAAGGUGCGUUGAAAAGCGUGCUGGAGGUAUCGGAAGUGCGAAUGCUGACAUGAGUAGCGAUAAAGGGGGUGAAAAGCCCCCUCGCCGUAAGCCCAAGGUUUCCUACGUAACGUUCAUCAGCGUAGGGUGAGUCGGCCCCUAAGGCGAGGCAGAAAUGC